AUUAGCAAGUGUAAUAACAUGGCCUGUGCCAGCUACUUGCUGGUGUGGAAGCAGAGGCUACACCUGACCUGGAAAAGUGUACAGGGGGCAAAGUUGACACUCCAAAAAUUCUGAGUUUGCACUAGUUCAGCAUCCUGUGUUAUGCAGCUGGAAAAAUUUUAAACUGUGAUUACAGCUUCUCACUGGAGUUACUUUAUAUUACAAUGAGGCAAAAAUCGUAAGGGGCGAGGCGGAAAAUAAUCAAUAAAUCAUACGCCUGUCUACAGAUAGUUACAGAUGUACCUAAAUCUGCAUUUUCAGCCAACAAAUUAUUCAACUGAAAAAUUUUAUCCUGUACUCUUUGAGGAGAACAUUCAUCAUUUCACCCAUCUAGAGGUGGCCCUUUACAUGUGAGGAGCAAGAAUGGCAGAUAAAAUCAAGCUGUGUCUCCUGCUGAUCGGAAAAUGCAGAAAGGGCCCUGAUCUGGAUGUGUGAGAGAGGGAGCACAGAAACCUCUGAAAUGGCCACCAGACAGAUCAGUUUGCUCUGACCUCUUGAAUUAAAAGAGAGAUGUAGGAAGGAAGAACUUUUACAUGAUAAGAGCAGGAGCCUAUGCUGCACGUUCUGGAUCAAAACAGGAAAUGUUUGCCGGCACUAUCCCUUUCUCUCUGUGUUGCAGCUUCCUGAUGACCAAACUUUCGAAGGAGCAAAGCGAUUAUCUGAUUGUCCCAGGGAAAUGAAGCUGAGGUGCUAGAGGGCAGCAGUCAUAUCCACCAACAUGCCUGACAGGAAAACAUAAUGCAGACUUAAUGUAAAUGGAAUAAAACUGCAUCUGUUACCAUUCCUGAGGAAAUGUGCACAUUCAGAAAGCAGAGCUUGGAGGCUAAGUAAAUGUAACACAGGAAUUCUGUGGGGAAAAAUAAAAAAGACUGAGUUGU
rnacentral:lncRNA from 7 species